AUCUUCAGGGAUUUGUGAAAUUCAAUACCGGCGGUAAAGCCCGCGAGCCUUUAUGGCAUGAUUCGGUGUAACUCCGAAGCCGACAGUAAAGUCUGGAUGUGAGAAGAUU
rnacentral:ncRNA from 1 species